rnacentral:lncRNA from 1 species
GCCAAUAUUAUUUUCUUCUUUUAUGUCCAGUGUUAACAGUUAAUUUUAAUUAGUCAGUCAGGCAAAAUGCCAUGGUAAGAGUUAUAUAAUAUUGAAUAGGAUUCUACAAGUCCUAUAUUGGCAACUAAUAAACCUAUUUAUUUUGCAUGAUAUUGUAAUUGAAUUUUGUUGUUUAAUUAUCAUUGAUGAUAAAACUUUUGUCCUUUUCUUAGAUCAUCCAGGGAAAAAUCGUAAUGUGAAGGUAAUAACCUUGAUACUUUUCAUUUAUUUUCUGAUAUGUACUGAAAACUCUCUAUGCAACUUUUUUUUAUUAAAUUAUCUUGUUUCAUAGCCUAGUCAAUGUGGUCUUCCAAUGAAAGAUCCUUCCACAAGCCAAGAAUCAGAGAAAGUAGUCAAGACAAAACGAAAAUUAGGUAAAGUUGGUAAUUCCACAAUUUAGGAAGAAAAAAAUAUAUACUUAGGGACUUUUCGGUAUUCAUAUUAACUUUUCCCACUUUCUCCUCAUUUCUAUUCCAGCUUUUAUGGAAAAAGUUGAUUUACCUGCUGCAGAAAACACUGAUGAUGGUUCAAACUGGGAUUCUACAAGUACUUCUGAGAUACAUAAGAGUCACAGAAGUUCCAAGAUUUUAAACUUACAAAGGAGUGAUGUUGGCAAAUCCUUGCUCAGGACUCUAAAUAAGUUAGGUUCCACAAGAGUUGCAGCUGGAAGUGGGCCCGAAGUAGAAAAUCCAGGCCCCCAGAAGCAAUGUGAACCUCCUCUAGAAAAAGAAGCCCAAAAACGUAAGAAAGAUAUAGGGUUAAUACUCUGAAUUUAUUUGUAUU